UACAGAGGGUGCAAGCGUUGUUCGGAAUUAUUGGGCGUAAAGCGCGUGUAGGCGGCUUUGCAAGUCGGGUGUGAAAGCCCUCAGCUUAACUGAGGAAGUGCGCCCGAAACUGCUUGGCUUGAGUACCGGAGAGGACGGCGGAAUUCCCCAAGUAGAGGUGAAAUUCGUAGAUAUGGGGAGGAACACCGGUGGCGAAGGCGGCCAUCUGGACGGAUACUGACGCUGAGACGCGAAAGCGUGGGUAGCAAACAGG
rnacentral:rRNA from 1 species